CGACGGGCGAGCAGAGGCUUCGACGCCCACGGAAGACCUCAAACCCAGCACUGACGGCGGUGAAAGAGGGAGAGAGUGAAAGAAACGCUCGCGGCGUCGGAAGGGCCGAAGGCGUCGGACGGGCAGCAGGUGUCCUGGUACAGAGGCAAACAGUCUCGGAGCACCUUCGACACGGACCAGGAACCACGGGGGCGAUCCUCGACACUGUAGAGCCCCCAUCAAAAGCGCGAAGUGAAAUGAGCUUGAGCUUCGAGGAGCGUUCAGCAGCGCCUGUAAUCUCUGUCCCGAACCUCGCGCUUCUGCUCUCCACCUCCUCUCUCAUUGCCCGGCGGAUCCUCCCCCGCGGGGCCUCGAGCGCCUGAAGACCUGGGAGGACUGGGAGACCCUGCUGCGCUCUG